GGUAAAUCUCAAAAGGAUUCAUCUGGAAAGGACAAUGUAAAUACUGCUAGUCAGAGUGACAGUGGUAAAUCUCAAAAGGAUUCAUCCGGAAAGGACAACACAAACCUAUCUGGUCAGAGUGACAGUGCCCAACGUACCACAUUAAGGCCCAUUGUCAAGACCACCACAAAGAGUCGCAACAACCCAACUCAAAAACCCAACAACCCAACUCAGAAAUCCAAAAACCCAACUCAAAAACCCAACAACCCAACUCAGAAACCCAACAACCCAACUCAGAAAUCCAAAAACCCAACUCAGAAACCCAACAACCCAACUCAAAAACCCAACAACCCAACUCAGAAACCUAAGGCACCUCAGACAACUACUGCAAAGAAUAAAGGAAAUGGAAAAUCAUAAAUGUUUGUGAAUGUUAAGCACAAUGUUAAGCAUCUAUAUGUUUUCAUUGCUUUAUUUUAUCAGUUUCUGUCUUUUGUUUCUACAUUUUGUCAAUGCAAAAUUAUUUUUAUUAAUUUUUGUAUAGGCCAAUAGGUUGAUGACCAAUAUUUAUUAUAUACUUUCUUAACAUUAAGAUUUUUGUUUAAAAUGUAUUUAGAUGUGCACAUUAAUGGAUUGGAAUAAGUUUAAGUUAAUUGGGUUAUUUAAAACUUUGACUUUUUAAAAAUGGUGUAAAAGAGGCAAUCCAACUUAAUUUUGAAGAUUUUUGAAGAUUUUUUGGGCGCUUAGGUACAACCUUAUAUUCUUGUAGUAGUUGUAUUUAUGUCUAAAUAUUUGGGGUAUUUCUGUGGGGUCAAUGGGGGUGUUCUUAUACCUAAACUAUGCUACUGUAUAAUGCUUGUUUGAUGCUCCAUAUUUCUCUUAAUUAUGCAUAAUUAUGUAU